UACGGAGGGGGCUAGCGUUGUUCGGAAUUACUGGGCGUAAAGCGCACGUAGGCGGCUUUGUAAGUUAGAGGUGAAAGCCCAGGGCUUAACUCUGGAAUUGCCUUUAAGACUGCAUCGCUAGAAUCGUGGAGAGGUGAGUGGAAUUCCGAGUGUAGAGGUGAAAUUCGUAGAUAUUCGGAAGAACACCAGUGGCGAAGGCGACUCACUGGCCCGUUACUGACGCUGAGGCGCGAAAGCGUGGGGAGCAAACAGG
rnacentral:rRNA from 1 species